rnacentral:rRNA from 1 species
CUGUGCAAAGGUAGCAUAAUCAUUAGUUUUUUAAUUGAAGGCUUGUAUGAAGGGUCUGACAAAGAAAAAGCUGUCUUUAAUUUUAUUUUUGAAAUUGACUUUUAAGUGAAAAGGCUUAAAUAUAUUUAAGGGACGAUAAGACCCUAUAAAUCUUUAUAUUAAAUUGUUAUCUUGGAUUUUAAUAAUUGUCUAGAUUUAACAAGUAAAAUAAUAAAUAUUUUGUUGGGGUGACGAGAAUAUAAAAAUAACUGUUCUUUUAAAAAACAAAGUUGUUUGUAUUAAAUUUAUAGAUCCUUUUUUAAAGAUUAAAAGUUUAAGUUACUUUAGGGAUAACAGCGUUAUUUUUUUUGAGAGUUCUUAUCGAAAAAAAAGUUUGCGACCUCGAUGUUGAAUUAAAAUUUCUUUAUGGUGUAGAAGUUAUAGAAGAGAGUCUGUUCGACUUUUAAAAUUUU